UGGUGGAGUGAUUUGUCUGCUUAAUUGCGAUAACGAACGAGACCUUAACCUGCUAAAUAGUCAGGCCAGCUUCGGCUGGUCGCAGGCUUCUUAGAGGGACUAUCGGCUUCAAGCCGAUGGAAGUUUGAGGCAAUAACA
rnacentral:rRNA from 1 species